UGUAGUUUCUUCAGUUUUUCAUGCUACAGCCAGUACAGGCAGCCUGUAGACGAGUUGUUGUAGGCAGCCUGUAGACGAGUUGUUGUAGGCAGCGAGGUUAUGUUACAGUUAGUUUGGCCGUCUGCUGCUUCGUGUCGAAGUUUGUUUGGGUGCAGGCUGUGUAAGAAUCUGUGUGUUGGCCAAAGGGUUUCAUCGAAGUUUCCUUGUGGCUCGGAGGCUCCAAUCGACUGCUCCAUACCGUCACGACGUCGAGAACCGGUACAGCCUAUCCGCCUACGACGUUCAAAGUCGUGUCCAGGAUUCAAGGAAACCGUGACUCCUGGCUGCAGCCUUCAGGAGCGCUCGCCACUGGACGUUCAUCGUCCCCGUUUGUCAUGGUGUUCCAGUGAUUCUAGAUGGUGACCGACGUCCGUGACUUUUUUUGUUGUCGCAGUGAUGGCUACAGCAGAGGGCUUGAAAGUGAUGACGUCAAAACGGCCAGGGAGUAGUAAGUUGACAUCAGAUUUCUAUUUUUGGAUCCACUAAGGUGUGACUUUGCUAUUGCCUAAGUAUAUGGGUGCAUAGCAACCAACUCAUGUCGCAAGCAGGUGUGACUUUUAUUU